UGUCAAGGGAUGGGAAUCGAACCCACUACCUUCCACUUACCGGGCAGAUGCCAUGACCACUAGGCUACCCUGGAC
rnacentral:tRNA from 1 species